UAGGGAAUCUUCCACAAUGGGCGAAAGCCUGAUGGAGCAACGCCGCGUGUGUGAUGAAGGGUUUCGGCUCGUAAAACACUGUUGUAAGAGAAGAAUGACAUUGAGAGUAACUGUUCAAUGUGUGACGGUAUCGUACCAGAAAGGAACGGCUAAAUACGUGCCAG
rnacentral:rRNA from 1 species